CGUUGAUACUGUCGAGCUUGAAUUUAGUUGCUGUGGGUGGAAUGUGUGGUGUAGCGGUGAAAUGCAUAGAUAUCACACAGAAUAUCGAUUGCGAAGGCAGCUCACAAAGCUAAUAUUGACGCUGAUGCACGAAAGUGUGGGGAUCAAACAGGAUUAGAUGCCCUGGUAGUCCACACUGUAAACGAUGAUAACUCGCUGUCGGCGAUACACAGUCGGUGGCCAAGCGAAAGCGAUAAGUUAUCCACCUGGGGAGUACGACCGCAAGGUUGAAACUCAAAGGAAUUGACGGGGGCCCGCACAAGCGGAGGAACAUGUGGUUUAAUUCGAUGAUACGCGAGGAACCUUACCCGGGCUCGAACGGUGCAUGAAUGAUUCAGAGAUGGAUUAGUCCUUCGGGACAUGUAUCGAGGUGCUGCAUGGUUGUCGUCAGCUCGUGCCGUGAGGUGUCGGCUUAAGUGCCAUAACGAGCGCAACCCUUGUCGUUAGUUGCCAUCAGGUAAUGCUGGGAACUCUAGCGAGACUGCCACCGUAAGGUGCGAGGAAGGGGGGGAUGACGUCAAAUCAGCACGGCCCUUACGUCCGGGGCGACACACGUGUUACAAUGGCAGGUACAGAGGGCAGCUAUCCCAGCGAUGGGGUGCGAAUCUC
rnacentral:rRNA from 1 species